AGUAUCAGCCUUUGUUCAUGUUUCUCUGCAUUUUUCUCUUCUCACUUUGUAAUGUCUUUUGCACCAUGGCAGCUUCAUAUUAUUAUGUCUUCAAAUUUGUCAAUCUUCUGCUUACGGCUUUUGCCAUUAAUCUUUUGUAAGUCAGACACGGGUUAUGAUGCAUUUGAAGAGUUAGCAAUGCUACUUCAACUUCACGCUAAUUGAGACGAUCUCCCUGUUGUCCUAAUUGAGUUGCACAUAGUAACCAACCAUCUGGUGGUUUUCCAAUGUCUUAGGGGUUGUUUUCCUUCGGAUUAUUUACCCAGUUGUUUGGCUACGCAUCCUGCAGUGAGCGCUCCCCAGCCGAGACGGACGGGCUAGUGAGUGCUGCAAAUCUCGAACUGGCGUGAGAAGCGGAAGGCCUCAAGGGUCUUAUUUUAAUUGUGCCCCUGGUACUGAAGAAACACCGGAAUUAUGAAGUUGUUAAGUAUUUCUUCCAUACAUUUAUAUUUUCUACAGCUGCACGUGUGCUCUUGUAACUCAGACAUUCCCAUUACUGUGUUUGCACAUGUAUAAAAUGAUAGGAAACGCAAAAAUUGAAAACACCAGUGGGCUCACAGUCAUUUAAGAGCUAUAUGGAACUUGAAUUUUUUGGUGACAUU